UAGUCCACGCCGUAAACGAUGUCUACUUGGAGGUUGUGGCCUUGAGCCGUGGCUUUCGGAGCUAACGCGUUAAGUAGACCGCCUGGGGAGUACGGUCGCAAGAUUAAAACUCAAAUGAAUUGACGGGGGCCCGCACAAGCGGUGGAGCAUGUGGUUUAAUUCGAUGCAACGCGAAGAACCUUACCUACUCUUGACAUCCAGAGAAGCCAGCAGAGAACUUUCCAGAGAUGGAUUGGUGCCUUCGGGAACUCUGACACAGGUGCUGCAUGGCCGUCGUCAGCUCGUGUCGUGAGAUGUUGAGUUAAGUCCCGUAACGAGCGCAACCCCUAUCCCUAGUUGCUAGCAGUUCGGCUGAGAACUCUAGAGAGACUGCCGGUGUCAAGCCGGAGGAAGGUGGGGAUGACGUCAAGUCCUCAUGGCCCUUACGGUCUGGGCUUCACGCGUGCUACAAUGGCAAGUACAAAGGGUUGCGAACUCGCAAGAGGAAGCCAAUCCCAAAAAACUUGUACU
rnacentral:rRNA from 1 species